UCUUAGGUUCUAGGCUUUUGUUUUCUUAAAUUUUGGGUUUAGAGUUGUUCGCUUUCGUCCGAGGUACUGUUAUGAAGAUGUUGGGUUGGUUUUCUGUUACGGUGGCAGUGGGAGCAUGGUCCCAUUUUCUGGAAACUGCUAAUGGUUGGGGGUUUUAUUUUGCUAUUUUAUUGGAAGGCGUGGUUCAUUUUUUUUUGUUAUAAUUUUGUAGCUAUUUACCCACUUGUUUUGUAAAUUACUUGUUCUUGUCAUGUCCUUUUCCCUAUUACAACACUAUUAUUUAUGUUUAUUGGAAUACCCCUCUUUCUUUCCUUUCUCUGUCUCUACCUUAGAAAAAUAGAAACUGCUCCCUUGUUGUUUUCAAGCUUUCUCUUACUGCUGUUUUAUAGUUUAUAUUUAUUUAUUCUUAUGCAUUGACUAGGAAUCGUUCUGUGUAUUUUUUUGCAUAUUGAUAUUUGAGUAUUUGUCGCUUGCCAUUUUUUCUUUUAAAAUGUGUUGUUUAUUAUUCUGUGACAAUUACAACUAAAUUAACUUGGGUUUAUUAUUGUUGAGAUGUUGUUCAGCUCAAGUCUUCUUGCUAUUGUUGGAGUUGGUGAUAAGACUCGUUCUCAUUUUACAAGACAAGGCAUAUACAUAUAUGAAUUAAAUAGUCUCACAGUCUUGGAGAAUAUUGACACGCUGCCAAACAUUG